AAACAAACGCAUAAACAGAAGUGUGUUUAUGUGUUUACGUGUUAUGCUGCAACUUGUGUUUAUGUCAUUACCCAUAUAUACACAUGAAAAAGUGUACAUAUACACAAAGACAUAAACACAAUUUGUAUCAUAACACUUAAACACAUAAACACAUGAAAAUUAUGA
rnacentral:miRNA from 1 species